AUGUCCCAGGAUCCUGACUUUGUUUCUUGGAGCCUCUCUCCUUGGGGAGAAUUCUCCAUUAGCUCGGCUUAUCAGGCGCUAUGCCGGUUGCCGGUUCUCCAGUGGUUAUCCCCAUUGUGGAAGGCGCAUAUGCCCCUGAAGAUCAAGAUUUUCGUUUGGCAACUUCUCAGAGAUCGUUUACCUUCGGGGACCGAGGUGCUAAAACGCCAUGGCCCGGGCAAUGGCCUUUGCCCUCUCUGCCACGACCCGGAAACGGGAACGCACAUUUUGUUCUCAUGUGUAACAGCGCAGGCACUUUGA
rnacentral:rRNA from 1 species